AUUGAACGCUGGCGGAAUGCUUUACACAUGCAAGUCGGGCGGCAGCGCGGGGGCAACCCUGGCGGCGAGCGGCGAACAGGUGAGUAGCACAUCGGAACGUACCCAGUUGUGGGGGAUAGCCCGGCGAAAGCCGGAUUAAUACCGCAUACGACCUGAGGGUGAAAGGGGGGGAUCGCAAGACCUCUCGCAGUUGGAGCGGCCGAUGGCGGAUUAGCUAGUUGGUGGGGUAAAGGCCUACCAAGGCGACGAUCCGUAGCUGGUCUGAGAGGACGACCAGCCACACUGGGACUGAGACACGGCCCAGACUCCUACGGGAGGCAGCAGUGGGGAAUUUUGGACAAUGGGGGCAACCCUGAUCCAGCCAUUCCGCGUGAGUGAAGAAGGCCUUCGGGUUGUAAAGCUCUUUCGGCAGGAACGAAACGGUGAGGGUUAAUACCUCUCAUCAAUGACGGUACCUGAAGAAGAAGCACCGGCUAACUACGUGCCAGCAGCCGCCGUAAAAC
rnacentral:rRNA from 1 species